rnacentral:lncRNA from 1 species
CCGAUGUCUCAUAGUCCUCCUACGCAUAUCUCACAUGGAGAAAUAGAUUGGCAAAAAUUUUAUGCUGAAAGAGAAAGUUUGCUCAUUGUUUGUGUAGCAGAGCACUAAUAUGAUAGUAGGUGAUCGAGCGAGACCACAUGUACAACUAAGCGAAGGCACCGGGGCAAGAGGCCGGCUACCGUUCUCUUGUAUACCCACCUUCUAAAGGCUGUUUACUUAAGUGAACCCGACUAUUUAGUACUUCCUCCGAUCUGUCCUUAAAUAUAGAAAACCUAUCAACAUGUAUGACCGACUUAAAUUAGUUUUAUUGAAUGCAUAAUAAUAUAUAUCUUUAGCCUGUUAGUAUACUUAUUUGAUAUACCAACAUACAAUUUUACAUGCCUCCUAUUACUGAUGAAUCUAGAGGCCGCGGGAGGGCAGCACUGCCUGAGUUCGACCUUUUUUCUCUUUUUUUUUUGAUAGAUGAGUUCGGCAAGCACGGGAGAAAGAAAUUGGUACCGAGCAGAAAAGAGGCAGGAAUUCUUCAGUUCUAAUUAAUUAAUCGCUGAAUGAACACGAGUGAAAAAAAAUUAGACUAAUGUUAGUUGUUGAUUUUGGUUAGGUGGGCGUAAUAUUGAGGUGGGAAUGGUUUGUGUACAUUAGGUGGUAGUUUAAAAAAAGAAAAUAUUGGUGCCUUUAUAAGUAAUAGAAAUUAAUCCAACAACUUGAUAAUUUCCUACUUGGCAAUCAUGUCACCCAGUUCACCAAAACACAAUUAUUGUUUAUGCACAACAGCAGUGCAUGACCACUCUGCCAUCUUUUUUUCAAUAUGAAACAACACAUGGUGUUAUUCAUUGCC